rnacentral:tRNA from 1 species
GGGAGUGUAACUCAAUGGUAGAGUGCUUGCCUCAUACACAGAAGGCCCUGGGUUCAUUCUCAGUACUCCCC